GGGCUGCAGUGGGGAAUAUUGCACAAUGGGCGCAAGCCUGAUGCAGCCAUGCCGCGUGUGUGAAGAAGGCCUUCGGGUUGUAAAGCACUUUCAGUAAGGAGGAAAGGUUAAGUUUUAAUAGAGCUUAGCUGUGACGUUACUUACAGAAGAAGCACCGGCUAACUCCGUGCCAGCAGCCGCGGUAAUACGGAGGGUGCGAGCGUUAAUCGGAAUUACUGGGCGUAAAGCGUACGCAGGCGGUUUGUUAAGCGAGAUGUGAAAGCCCCGGGCUCAACCUGGGAACUGCAUUUCGAACUGGCAAACUAGAGUGUGAUAGAGGGUGGUAGAAUUUCAGGUGUAGCGGUGAAAUGCGUAGAGAUCUGAAGGAAUACCGAUGGCGAAGGCAGCCACCUGGGUCAACACUGACGCUCAUGUACGAAAGCGUGGGGAGCAAACAGGAUUAGAUACCCUGGUAGUC
rnacentral:rRNA from 1 species